AAUUCAUGUGCAUCGAUUUUAAUCAAAAUCACAUAACGUGUGGUGUUGAAUUGUUUAUUAAAAUUCCACGCACAAUCUUGGCUGAUAUGCAUAAAACCAUUAUUUCAUGAACCUGCAUGAAAUAUUGACUUAUCACAGAACUAAAAAAAUAAACCACCGAAAGUCCACAUAAGAGGGUAUGGUGGAUGUGAAUUAACAGAAUAGAGAAUAACGGGCAAAGA
rnacentral:lncRNA from 1 species